UACGUAGGGUGCGAGCGUUAAUCGGAAUUACUGGGCGCAAAGCGUGCGCAGGCGGUUUGCUAAGACCGAUGUGAAAUCCCCGGGCUUAACCUGGGAACUGCAUUGGUGACUGGCAAGCUAGAGUGUGGCAGAGGGGGGUAGAAUUCCACGUGUAGCAGUGAAAUGCGUAGAGAUGUGGAGGAAUACCGAUGGCGAAGGCAGCCCCCUGGGCCAACACUGACGCUCAUGCACGAAAGCGUGGGGAGCAAACAGG
rnacentral:rRNA from 1 species